GAUGAACGCUGGCGGCGUGCCUAAUACAUGCAAGUCGAGCGAACGGACGAGAAGCUUGCUUCUCUGAUGUUAGCGGCGGACGGGUGAGUAACACGUGGAUAACCUACCUAUAAGACUGGGAUAACUUCGGGAAACCGUAGCUAAUACCGGAUAAUAUUUUGAACCGCAUGGUUCAAAAGUGAAAGACGGUCUUGCUGUCACUUAUAGAUGGAUCCGCGCUGCAUUAGCUAGUUGGUAAGGUAACGGCUUACCAAGGCAACGAUGCAUAGCCGACCUGAGAGGGUGAUCCGCCCACCCUGCACUGAGACACCGUUCAGACUUCCACCGGGGGCAGCCGUUGGGAAACUUUCGCAAUGGGCGAAAGGCUUGACGAGCCACCCCCCGGUGGUGAAGAAGGGCUUCCGGUCGGAAAAACCCUUUAAUAAGGAAAAAACUAUGUGUAAAGAACCGGGGACCCUUUGGACGGUCCCAAUCCGGAAGCCCCCGCUAACCUCC
rnacentral:rRNA from 1 species